GACGAACGCUGGCGGCGUGCUUAACACAUGCAAGUCGAACGGAAAGGCCCUGCUUUUGUGGGGUGCUCGAGUGGCGAACGGGUGAGUAACAUGGGAGUAUCCUGCCUUUGACUUUGGGAUAACUUCAGGAAACUGGGGCUAAUACCGGAUAGGAGCUCCUGCUGCAUGGUGGGGGUUGGACAGUUUCGGCGGUUGGGGAUGGACUGGCGGUUUAUCAGCUUGUUGGUGGGGUAGUGGCUUACCAAGGCUUUGAUGGGUAGCCGGCCUGAGAGGGUGACCAGCCACAAUAGGCCUGAGAUACGGCCCAGACUGCAACAGGAGACAGCAGUGGGGAGUAUUACACAGUGGUCGGGAGCCUGAUACAGCGGCGCCGCGUGCGGGAUGACGGCCUUCGUGUGAUAAACCGCUUUCACCUGUGACGAAGCGUGAUUGACGGUAAUAGGUAAAGAAGCACCGGCUAACUACGUG
rnacentral:rRNA from 1 species